rnacentral:rRNA from 1 species
GGACUACCGGGGUAUCUAAUCCCGUUCGCUCCCCAUGCUGUCGUGUCUGAGCGUCAGGUGUGCGCCAGGGCGCCGCCUUCGCCUCUGGGGUUCCUCCGGAUCUCUACGCAUUUCACCACUACACCCGGAAUUCCACGCCCCUCUCGCACCCUCUAGUCCAGCAGUCUGGCAUAACCCCUCCAGGUUAAGCCCGGAGAUUUCAUACACCACUUACUGCACCGCCUGCACACGCUUUACACCCAGUCAAUCCGGAUAACGCUCGCCACCUACGUUUUACCGCGGCUGCUGGCAC